GAUGAACGCUGACAGAAUGCUUAACACAUGCAAGUCGAUGGGGAAGUGGUGCUUGCACCAUGGCAACCAUGGCGGACGGGUGAGUAACGCGUAAGGGACUUACCUGCAGGACUGGGAUAACAGGGGGAAACUCCUGACAAGACCGGAUAAUGUCAUGGAGCUGCCUGGCUUUAUGAUGAAAGGAGACGCCUGCGGAGAGCCUUGCGUCCUAUUAGCUAGUUGGUGAGGUAAUGGCUCACCAAGGCGAAGAGAGGGAGCCGGCCGGAGAGGGUGGACGGCCACGAGGGGAAUGGGAUACAGCCGUUGCGCCUACGGGAGGCAGCAGUGGGGAAUAGUGGAGAAUGGGGGCAACAGUGAUGAAGCAAUUCUGUGUGCACGAAGAAGGUUUUCGGAUUGAAAAGUGGUGUCAGCAGGGAAGAAGUAAGUGACGGUACCUGCAGAAGAAGCGACGGCUAAAUACGUG
rnacentral:rRNA from 1 species